rnacentral:rRNA from 1 species
CUGCCGUGUACAGGGGGAUAACACGCGGAAACGGCUGCUAAUACCGCAUAUGCGCACAGUGCCGCAUGGCACAGGGCGGAAAGCCUAGAUCUUAUCUAGUACGGUACACGAUGGGUCCGCGUCUGAUUAGGUAGUUGGCGGGGUAACGGCCCACCAAGCCCACGAUCAGUAGCCGGCCUGAGAGGGCGGACGGCCACACUGGGACUGAGACACGGCCCAGACUCCUGCGGGAGGCAGCAGUGGGGAAUAUUGCACAAUGGGGGGGACCCUGAUGCAGCGACGCCGCGUGAAGGAAGAAGUAUCUCGGUAUGUAAACUUCUAUCAGCAGGGAAGAAAGAGGACGGUACCUGACUAAGAAGCCCCGGCUAACUACGAGCCAGCAGCCGCGGUAAUACGUAGGGGGCGAGCGUUAUCCGGAUUUACUGGGUGUAAAGGGAGCGUAGACGGCCAUGCAAGCUCGGUGUGAAAGGUGCGGGCACAACCCGCAGACUGCACUGAGAACUGUAUGGCUGGAGUGCCGGAGGGGCAGGCGGAAUUCCUGGUGUAGCGGUGAAAUGCGUAGAUAUCAGGAGGAACACCGGUGGCGAAGGCGGCCUGCUGGACGGCGACUGACGUUGAGGCUCGAAAGCGUGGGGAGCGAACAGGAUUAGAUACCCUGGUAGUCCACGC